AAUAUAUGAGCUCCUCUUAGACUAUCCACGUAGGAUUAAAAAAUUGGCCAAUAGGAUUGCUUUAAAUGACCAUGUCAGCUUACGUGUUAAGCGUCCAUAUUUGUUCUUUUACGACUAUUCCUCUUCGUCUUCACCACUACGCGGUUACUGUAAUCCACCCUCGUGAAUCUGUAAUGCUCUUAAAUCCUCUUUUAAUCCGACGUCCCAGCUCCCCCUCUUUCUCCUUCUAUAUAAAGCUCUAAUCUGAUGUUUAAUCCAAACCCUUAUUCAUAACCUCCACUGAAGAAGGUACAACGACCGCCAUGAAAUCUACAGGAAAGUCUCCAGUCCCCAGCCGCAAGCCUCACGUCGUUGUAUCUUUAGUGACGUCUCACAGGAACCAGCCGAAAUUGAUCUCCUUUUUUGGUUAAUCCAUUUCUGGGAAGCAAGAAACAUUGCAAAAGGCAUGACCUUUAUUGGAACAUUGCAAAAGGCAGGACCUUUAUUGGGUUGGAGCUCCUCCAAUACGACGAACAGGGGACUGCGAUGCAUGGGUUCAUCUCCUCUACUCGUGCUCCACGAUGCUCGCCUCAUCCUAAAGCAGAAACAACUUACAGCCUUCUGAAAUUUUAAGCUACCAGAAGCAAGGAGAUUUAUUGAGUUGCUUAUCAGAGUUUAACAAUUUCUUUUUUUGAAUGAAAAGUUUAACAAUCUCCCUCUUGCACAACUUUGUUCUCUUCGUGCUUGACGACAUCAGCCUCUCUAUUGACGCAGACAGGUUCAGGUUCCGCUCCAAUAACAGCAUCGUAAUUAUCUCUCCCUUUCUCUCAUGAUGACUGGCCGUAUAACAUAUACCAUCAUUGACCCCAUUGCUUGGCUUCCACAGUUACAGGUUUGCCAUAGAUUUUUAUAGUAGUAGUAGAACUAUAAAAGCAAUGUUAAUGCUUAAAUCUCACUAUAAUUAUUAUACGUUACAGCACCAAAGGCGUGAUACUUAUCAGUUUUUCUUCAACCACCAGGCGCACCAGAUCUAAUGGGAAACACAGUCUAUUACAAAUAGUCUGUUGAUACAUUUUAUUUGAUUUCAGUAGUUCACAUAUUAGGACGAAACAUGCCUCACAUUAACAUGUCUAUGUGACAUGAUCUUUGUGGAACAGCUUGAGAGACUUUUCCAAAGGAAUUAGUAAGAUUUCUGCAGUGAAGCUUUGGCUACUACUAGGCCUCGUGCUACUCCAACGGCUCAUACUAUGGAGAUAGAGCAUGACUUACUAACCAGGUCAUUUAUAUUACUUUUAAACCAUCAUAGAAUCCAUUUUAUUCGUUCUUUCUGCAGAGACUAAUGAAGGGUCAAAAUAACAAGGAUCAUUCUAAGGGUUCACAAUUUAUUUUUACCCCUUUUUAUAUUUUAACUUUCAAAGCAAUAUGUAUUCAAUUCUUACGAUCAGAUGUUUUUGCUUAUGAGGUCUGUCAUACACUCUAAUGCCAAGUUACAAUAUUGUCUGGUUUAUGAAAAGUAAGCUCACCAAUUUUAGAAAGCA